GUUGUGAUUUCAUUAAUCGCUUCGGAGCGCGGGCGGUCGCGGCCGUUAAAUCUUUCACAAGGUUGACCUCGGAUCAGGUAGGGAUACCCGCUGAACUUAAGCAUAUCAAUAAGGCGGAGGA
rnacentral:rRNA from 1 species